UCCAUUAACCAGAUCACCCGGAUCUCAUCACAUCUUAGAAGCUAAGCAUGGUUGGGCCUGGAUAGUGCUUGGAUGGGUGACGACCAUGUAUACCAGGUGUUGUAGGCU
rnacentral:rRNA from 1 species